rnacentral:misc_RNA from 1 species
AACGCAUCUUGCGCUUUCGGGUAUUCCUGGAAGCAUGCCUGUUUGAGAAUCGAUUUUAAACUUUCUUUGAAGAGUUGGUCUUUUUACACUUGCAAAAGGGUAAAGACUGAAAUAGAGGUUGGCUUCGGUUUACUUUUUCUGAAAGAACAAAGUUGAUCAAGACUGACUGAAUAAUGCGUAAUCAAGUCUUUAUGACAAGACCGCAUGAUUCGUUAAAGUUGGUACUGUGUUGAUGAUGUGAUGGAAGGAAUACUCGCAAGAGGAUAAGGUAAAGGCCACUUAACCAGAACGUCCUUGAGACGACUUUUUUAAACUAGGUCUCAAAUCAGGCAAGAUUACCCGCUGAACUUAA